ACUGCUCAGUAACACGUGGAUAACCUGCCCUGCGGUGGGAAAUAACCCCGGGAAACUGGGGAUAAUGUCCCAUAGGCUACGGAUGCUGGAAUGCUCUGUAGCUCAAAGAUUUAUCGCCACAGGAUGGGUCUGCGGCCGAUUAGGUAGUUGUUGGGGUAACGGCCCAACAAGCCUUUGAUCGGUACGGGUUGUGGGAGCAAGAGCCCGGAGAUGGAUUCUGAGACACGAAUCCAGGCCCUACGGGGCGCAGCAGGCGCGAAAACUUUACAAUGCGGGAAACCGUGAUAAGGGAACUCCGAGUGUCCGUCAAUGCGGACUGUCCGUACGUUUAAAAAGCAUGCGAAGAAAGGGCCGGGCAAGACCGGUGCCAGCCGCCGCGGUAAUACCGGCGGCUCGAGUGGUGGCCACUAUUACUGGGCUUAAAGCGUUCGUAGCUGGGUUGUUAAGUCUCUUGGGAAAUCUAUCGGCUUAACCGAUAGGCGUCCAAGGGAUACUGGCAAUCUAGGGACCGGGAGAGGUGAGGGGUACUUCAGGGGUAGGAGUGAAAUCCUGUAAUCCUUGGGGGACCACCUGUGGCGUAGGCGCCUCACCAGAACGGCUCCGACAGUGAGGGACGAAAGCUGGGGGAGCAAACCGGAUUAGAUACCCGGGUAGUCCCAGCCGUAAACGAUGCGCGUUAGGUGUAUCGAUGACCACGAGUCAUCGAGGUGCCGAAGGGAAACCGUGAAACGCGCCGCCUGGGAAGUACGGUCGCAAGGCUGAAACUUAAAGGAAUUGGCGGGGGAGCAC
rnacentral:rRNA from 1 species